AUUGAACGCUGGCGGCAUGCCUUACACAUGCAAGUCGAACGGCAGCACGGGGGGUAACCCCUGGUGGCGAGUGGCGAACGGGUGAGUAAUAUAUCGGAACGUGCCCUGUAGCGGGGGAUAACCUAUCGAAAGAUGGACUAAUACCGCAUACGCUCUACGGAGGAAAGCGGGGGUCGCAAGACCUCGCACUAUAGGAGCGGCCGAUAUCGGAUUAGCUAGUUGGCGGGGUAAAAGCCCACCAAGGCGACGAUCCGUAGCUGGUCUGAGAGGAUGAUCAGCCACACUGGAACUGAGACACGGUCCAGACUCCUACGGGAGGCAGCAGUGGGGAAUUUUGGACAAUGGGCGCAAGCCUGAUCCAGCCAUGCCGCGUGAGUGAAGAAGGCCUUCGGGUUGUAAAGCUCUUUCGGCAGGAACGAAAUGGUUCGUGCUAAUACCACGGAUUGAUGACGGUACCUGAAGAAGAAGCACCGGCUAA
rnacentral:rRNA from 1 species